GUAAAGCUACGUAUAAUAUACCUUUGUAGUGAGAUCCUUUCCCGAAUCUUACAUAGAACGAAAGUUUUAAUGCACCAAAUUGCCUCUUAAUAAUAUGAAUAUCGAAUACCAAAUUAAAGAAAAAACUAGGGAAGAUAGUUUUUUCAUGAAAGCAGUGGGAAACAGCUAAAACAUAUAUUCUAUGUUUUAUAUACUGUAUGGGCAUGAAGUUUUCUUCAUAUUUUUUUUUUUAAAAUAAUGUUGUCUAUUCUUUCUUUUGCAACCUUUGAUUUGCUUUUUUCUAAAUCUAGGAUGAUAACUGGACAGCUUCC
rnacentral:lncRNA from 1 species